rnacentral:RNase_P_RNA from 1 species
CGAGUAAGACAGACGAUCGCGGCUGCGUUUGCGCAGGUGAGGAAAGUCCGGGCUUCAAAGGGCAGGAUGCCGGAUAACGUCCGGUAGAGGUGACUCUAAGGAAAGUGCAACAGAAAUAUACCGCCGUUUUACGGUAAGGGUGAAAUGGUGGUUUAAGAGACCACCGCUCUCAGGGUAACCUGAGAGGCUAUGUAAACCCCAUCCGAAGCAAGACCGAACAGAAUAGACAAAAAGUCCGACCGGACUUUUUGUCGGGGGCGGCCCGUCCAAAUUCAGGUUGGUUGCUUGAGCUUAUCGGCAACGAUAAGCCUAGACAGAUGAUCGUCAAAUACAGAACCCGGCUUAUCGUUUUGCUCGAUUU